rnacentral:rRNA from 1 species
CUAAGAAUAUUCCGCAAUGACGGAAGUCUGACGGAGCGACGCCGCGUGGAUGAAGAAGGCCGAAAGGUUGUAAAGUUCUUUUGCUGGGGAAGAAUAACCGCAGGAGGGAAUGCCUGUGGGAUGACAAGAACCGGCGAAUAAGCCCCGGCCAACUACGUGCCAGCAGCCGCGGUAACACGUAGGGGGCGAGCGUUGUUCGGAAUUACUGGGCGUAAAGGGCAUGUAGGCGGCUUGGAAGGCCUGGCGUGAAAGUCUGCAGCUUAACUGCAGGGGUGCGCUGGGAACUGCUGAGCUUGAGUGACGGAGAGGGAGCUGGAAUUCCUGGUGUAGGGGUGAAAUCUGUAGAUAUCAGGAAGAACACCGAUGGCGAAGGCAAGCUCCUGGCCGAUGACUGACGCUGAGGUGCGAAAAGUGUGGGGAUCAAAACAGGAUUAGAUACCCUGGUAGUCCAC